AACGAACGCUGGCGGCAUGCCUAACACAUGCCAGUCGAACGAGACCUUCGGGUCUAGUGGCGCACGGGUGCGUAACGCGUGGGAACCUGCCCUUAGGUUCGGAAUAACUCCCCGAAAGGGGUGCUAAUACCGGAUAAUGUCUUCGGACCAAAGAUUUAUCGCCUUUGGAUGGGCCCGCGUUGGAUUAGCUAGUUGGUAGGGUAAAAGCCUACCAAGGCGACGAUCCAUAGCUGGUCUGAGAGGAUGAUCAGCCACACUGGGACUGAGACACGGCCCAGACUCCUACGGGAGGCAGCAGUGGGGAAUAUUGGACAAUGGGCGAAAGCCUGAUCCAGCAAUGCCGCGUGAGUGAUGAAGGCCUUAGGGUUGUAAAGCCCUUUUACCCGGGAUGAUAAUGACAGUACCGGGAGAAUAAGCGCCGGCUAACUCCGUG
rnacentral:rRNA from 1 species